CGCCUGUUUAUCAAAAACAUGUCUUUAUGAAGUUGUAUAAAGUCUAGCCUGCCCAUUGAAUUUUUUAAAGGCCGCGGUAUUUUAACUGUGCAAAGGUAGCAUAAUAAUUAGUUUUUUAAUUGAAAACUUGAAUGAAAGGUUGGACAAAGAAAAAUCUGUCUUUAAUAUUUUUAUUGAACUUUACCUUUAAGUGAAAAGGCUUAAAUAAAUUUAAGGGACGAUAAGACCCUAUAAAUCUUUACAUUUUACUAAACUUUAAAACUAGAAAUAAAUUUAUUUAAAAGCUUAAGAAAUAAUGUUUUAUUGGGGUAAUAAAGAUAUAAUAUUUAUAUAAACUGUCUUUUUUUUUAAACAAAUAUAUUUGUGUAUAAAGAUCCUUCUUAAAGAUUAAAAGUUUAAGUUACUUUAGGGAUAACAGCGUAAUUUUUUUUGAGAGUUCCUAUCGAAAAAAAAGUUUGCGACCUCGAUGUUGAAUUAAAAUUUCUUCGUGGUGUAGAAGCUAUGUAAAGAAAGUCUGUUCGACUUUUAAAAUUUUACAUGAUUUGAGUUCAAACCGGCGUAACCCAGGUUGGUUUCUAUCU
rnacentral:rRNA from 1 species